rnacentral:lncRNA from 10 species
AGCUUUUCUGCUUUCCCAGAGGAAUUCUCCCCAGCUUUUCUGCUUUCCCAGAGGAAUUCUCCCCAGCUUUCCUUCUCGGAUUUAGGAAGUCUGUAUUAGUUUGCUAGGGCUACCAUCACGAAAUGCCACAGACCAUGUGGUUUCAACAGCUGGAAGUUAUUUUCUCACAGUUCUAGAGGCCAGAAGUCAAAGAUCAAGGUGCCAGCUGCAGGGACCAGCCC